ACCUAAAGGCGCAAUGAAAGUGAAGGUCGACCUUGCGUCGACCGAGGGAGGAUGGCUAGCGUUACGAUGCGAGCCCGCACUCCCGGGGCGUCUCGUGCUCAUUGCGAGCAGAGGCGCACCCAGAGCGUACACGUUGGGACCCGAAAGAUGGUGAACUAUGCCUGGUCAGGACGAAGUCAGGGGAAACCCUGAUGGAGGUCCGUAGCGAUUCUGACGUGCAAAUCGAUCGUCGGAACUGGGUAUAGGGGCGAAAGACUAAUCGAACCAUCUAGUAGCUGGUUCCCUCCGAAGUUUCCCUCAGGAUAGCUGGCACUCGCUUGAGCGAGUCUCAUCUGGUAAAGCGAAUGAUUAGAGGCCUUGGGGCCGAAACGACCUCAACCUAUUCUCAAACUUUAAAUGGGUGAGAUCUCUGGCUUGCUUGAACGUUGAA
rnacentral:rRNA from 1 species